rnacentral:rRNA from 1 species
ACUACGGGUGGCAGCAGUGAGGAAUAUUGGUCAAUGGACGAGAGUCUGAACCAGCCAAGUAGCGUGAAGGAUGACUGCCCUAUGGGUUGUAAACUUCUUUUAUAUGGGAAUAAAAUGUUCCACGUGUGGGAUUUUGUAUGUACCAUAUGAAUAAGGAUCGGCUAACUCCGUGCCAGCAGCCGCGGUAAUACGGAGGAUCCGAGCGUUCUCCGGAUUUAUUGGGUUUAAAGGGAGCGUAGGUGGAUUGUUAAGUCAGUUGUGAAAGUUUGCGGCUCAACCGUAAAAUUGCAGUUGAAACUGGCAGUCUUGAGUACAGUAGAGGUGGGCGGAAUUCGUGGUGUAGCGGUGACAUGCUUAGAUAUCACGAAGAACUCCGAUUGCGAAGGCAGCUCACUGGACUGCAACUGACACUGAGGCUCGAAAGUGUGGGUAUCAAACAGGAUUAGAUACCCCGGUAGUC